UACGUAGGUGGCAAGCGUUGUCCGGAAUUAUUGGGCGUAAAGCGCGCGCAGGCGGUCCUUUAAGUCUGAUGUGAAAGCCCACGGCUCAACCGUGGAAGGUCAUUGGAAACUGGAGGACUUGAGUACAGAAGAGGAAAGCGGAAUUCCACGUGUAGCGGCGAAAUGCGUAGAGAUGUGGAGGAACACCAGUGGCGAAGGCGGCUUUCUGGUCUGUAACUGACGCUGAGGCGCGAAAGCGUGGGGAGCAAACAGG
rnacentral:rRNA from 1 species